GCCCUUCCUACGGGAGGCAGCAGUGGGGGAUAUUGCACAAUGGGCGCAAGCCUGAUGCAGCGACGCCGCGUGAGGGAUGACGGCCUUCGGGUUGUAAACCUCUUUCAGUUGGGAAGAAGCCUUUCGGGGUGACGGUACCUUCAGAAGAAGCACCGGCUAACUACGUGCCAGCAGCCGCGGUAAUACGUAGGGUGCGAGCGUUAUUCGGAAUUAUUGGGCGUAAAGAGCUCGUAGGCGGUUUGUCACGUCUGCUGUGAAAGCUCGGGGCUUAACUCCGAGUGUGCAGUGGGUACGGGCAGGCUGGAGUGCAGUAGGGGAGACUGGAAUUCCUGGUGUAGCGGUGAAAUGCGCAGAUAUCAGGAGGAACACCGAUGGCGAAGGCAGGUCUCUGGGCUGUUACUGACGCUGAGGAGCGAAAGCAUGGGGAGCGAACAGGAUUAGAUACCCUGGUAGUCCAUGCCGUAAACGUUGGGCACUAGGUGUGGGGAACAUUCCACGUUUUCCGCGCCGUAGCUAACGCAUUAAGUGCCCCGCCUGGGGAGUACGGCCGCAAGGCUAAAACUCAAAGGAAUUGACGGAAGGGC
rnacentral:rRNA from 1 species